AUCUUGCUUAAUUAAUAUUUUUUCCUGCUAUUUUUGAUAAAUUGGGUUAAGUGUUAAAUAAUGGCCGGGCUUGCCUUGUAGUGUGCUGGGCGCCAUCACGACCGGGAUUUGGGUCGUGACACUUAUGUACCGUGUGCCUUAUCCUGAAAUUGGUACAACAAAGACGACCAACAAGAAGGAAAAUUGAUAUGUAACAACUUUCACCUUUUGUGAAAAUAGUUGAUGAGUCUAUUCGUAAGAUUGCGAUUCGUGUUCUAGGCUUCUGCAGCUGCUCGCUCUAUUGCAGCCGAUGUCAAAAGUACUGGUGAUCAGCAAAUAAUUAAUUCAGUUGAUGUCACAUGUGGUCUAAGCUUCGGCAAAUACACUGCUCUGGCGUUUGCAGGAGCUUUCAAGUUCCUGGCUUGCAUAACCUUAUGGAAACACAUACAUUAGGAGUUGCUUUCGAGGAUGGGCUUAAGCUGGUCAAGCUAAGAGGAGAAGCUAGGAUGCUGCUGAUGCUGGAAAAAGUGCAAUGGAAAAUUAUGCAGUCUCCGGAGGUCUUAAAGGAGUGGAAGUGGUAAAAGCAAAAGCAAAAUGAUUCAAAGCUCUAAUGACGGUACGUCUAGCUGAGUUUUAUGAAUCCAGCUUUCUCAAGACUAGAAGCUGCUCUGGGUGCAACAGAGAUCAGAACUCCUAGAAUACCAAUAAUAUCAAAUGUUAAUGUGCAACCACAUGCAGAUCCAGACACAAUUAAGAAAAUAUUAGCUCGCCAGAAAGCUCAUUCAGAAAUGACAAAAGCUGGUAUAUUCUAGGACAUCAGUCUGAAAGAUUUGUCAACUUUGAGAAAGAAGAGCUAUCCAAAGCAGAAUAUACAAAUGUAUUGAAAGUUAUGAGAUACAGUUGACAUUAUAAUUGGUUCAUAAGCCUCGACGACACUCAGGAUCCAGUUACCCUGAGUAUACUUUCCCAAUCAUAAUUGUUUGCCGAACAACAUAUGUCUAAAUGGGUGAGUAUAAUCCUUUUUCAUUCUUUUUCCUUCCGAUUCUAAGAUGCUUGCUUUGGCGUUAUUCACUAACACCUCGUAGGUGAAUGAGUGAUCGGGUUUUGGUCUGAACCUCGUGUUUUGACCAAGCGGGCUCGGGGUCAAUUUUUGACCUUUUGGGA